UCAGGAAGAAGAAGCCGGUGAGAUUCCGGCGCGGUCGCGCCACUGUUAUCGACGUACAAGGUCGAGAGCCAGACCUUCUUCCUGA
rnacentral:ncRNA from 2 species